rnacentral:misc_RNA from 1 species
UUGUGGAGGAGGACGCCGAAGGUGGGGCUAAUGACUGGGGUGAAGUCGUAACAAGGUAGCCGUACCGGAAGGUGCGGCUGGAUCACCUCCUAACAGGGAGACAACAAAAUGUUUAAUAUUAUUAUUUUGUCACCUUAGGUCGAUCGGUAUCUCACGUUCUUAAUUUAUUAAGAAUUCCAUUUCCUAAGUUUUUCUAGGUCACACCCAUCAUUUUUCCUGGGCCAUUAGCUCAGGUGGUUAGAGCGCACCCCUGAUAAGGGUGAGGUCCCUGGUUCAAGUCCAGGAUGGCCCAUAUCUCUAUGUUGGGGGUAUAGCUCAGUUGGUAGAGCGCCUGCUUUGCAAGCAGGAUGUCAGCGGUUCGAGUCCGCUUACCUCCACUGAUUACCACCUCUUCCAUAACCGGUAGAAAGGAAAAGUUUUGAGUUGUGAUCAAAUUCUGAAAGAAUCUAGCUUCCUAAUGAAAUCAUUAAGAUGCUGGACUCAUUGAAUUAAUUUCAUUGUUUUCAGAGAACCUUGACAACUGCAUAGAUUAUUUUUAAAGACAAUAAGCAUCUUUAAUGAUGCAGAUUUAUUAUUUGUGCGAAUGCAUUAAUAACAAUUCUAUUAAGCUGAUGCUUCAAUUUUUGAAGUUAUUGGUCAAGCUACAA